UACGUAGGGGGCUAGCGUUGUCCGGAAUCAUUGGGCGUAAAGCGCGCGUAGGCGGCCCGGUAAGUUCCGCUGUGAAAGUCAAAGGCUCAACCUUUGAAUGUCAGCGGAUACUGCCGGGCUAGAGUCCGGAAGAGGCGAGUGGAACUCCUGGUGGUAGCGGGUGGAAUGCGCAGAUAUCAGGAAGAACACCCGUGGCGAAGGCGGGUCUCUGGGCCGUAACUGACGCUGAGGAGCGAAAGCGUGGGGAGCGAACAGG
rnacentral:rRNA from 1 species